rnacentral:lncRNA from 1 species
GAUUUCAAACGACUCUUUAGACGUGCUGAUUAUCUCAACGUCUCUUUCACACCUCUAUAUAAAGGAGUGAAGACUUGAAGAUAAGAGAGAGAAACAUACAAGUUCAAAAGCGCCAAAACUCUGUCAAAUUGAUUCUACAAAGCACACUGAAUUUCUGCACUGAUUUGAUACAUCUUAGAAAUUCAAAGUCUAGAGUCUUUAUUGUAUUGUAUUGAGAACACCACUGAUUGUAUAUCAAGUGUUCAAGUCAAACUCAAUUCUCUGUAUUUUUGUUUGAUUAGAAGUCUCUUGCCUGCGUGCUUGAGCAUUAGAAGUCUCUUGCUUAGUGCUUGAGCAUUGGAAGACUCUUGCGUGUGUGCUUGAGCAGUUUUGUGAAGUC